CCAAAAAGAGCAAGUUCUAAAUUAAUAUCAACACUCCUCAUAAUUUUUAAUAAUAAUCAAACUUUAGAAUAACUAAAAUUGGCAGUUAUGCAAACACUAAUGCUCGCCGGAUUACCUUGCAUCAAGCAGGUUUGAAAUUGUUGAUCUAUUAUUUUUUCGAUGUCUGAAGAUAUAUUUAAACCGUUAAAGUUUCUAAAUUUAUUACAUAGAUUCCGACACCCAAAAUGAACAGUUUUGUGUUUUGUUAAUUAAUCGUAGUGGCUCUUGGUAGCUGCCUUAAACUUCCUUCCAGUUUCAAAAAAUGUGAUCAAAAGAGAACCAAUUUCAACCAGUGUUUAAGUGAAGCUAUCUAUGGUGCCCUUAGAAUUUUAGAGAAACCUUUGCCUUCUCAUGGUUUACCAAGUUUGUUCGAUGUCGAAUUUCCAGACCUCGUGGCUAUAUUUGGAAAUCGUACCUACGGGCUGCUGCAGAAAUAUGAUCAAUUUAGGUUAAUCGGUCUAUCGCAACCAGAGAAUAUAGACGCUAAAUUAGAUUUCGGUCCUUUGACUAGUACUUUGACUAUAGCAGCCACUUAUCCUCAGCUUACGCUAGAAAUUGAGUGUGAAGCUAAAGGUACCAUUGUUCUUCUACCCGUGAAUGUCAUAACACCUGUCGCAAACAUUUUGGGUAGGUAUUCUAGGCACACAUUUAUUAUCAUUGCUACAAAAAUUGGUCUUUUAGAUCACCCAACUUUCACUUUUACAUUUGAACUGGAAGAGUACGAAAAAGGUACUACUUACUUUCGAGUAAUCGAUUCCAAACUAGACAUGCAAGUAGAGGGCAUUAAAUUCGGCUUCGAACAACCCUUUUCCGACAAGGUUCUGAACGAAAAGUUCAAUUCUGCUAUGAGUGCAAAAUGGCGAUCAGUUUUUGCUAUUUUUAAAAGCUUUGAAGAGAUUUUCGCUCCACGGUUUGGUUCAAUCUUUAACACUUUACUGAAAAAAGUUUGUGUUGCUGAACUUUUUGAUUGAGAGGUUUUGUUUAAACAUUGCUACAUUUGCAUAAU